AGGGGAGUGGGGAAUGAUGUGGCAAAAAUGGUGGGAAAGUUUAUGUUAGGUGGUCAGGGAAGUCCAUGGGGGAGUUAGUCAUGUGGUUUUCGGAGGAAGAACAUUUCCCAACCAGAGCAAAGAGUGAGCACAAAGCUUCUGUUUGGGGGCUGGGCCUGGCUUCAGACAGGGUUAGAGACUCAAGGGCACACAGCCAAAGCAGCAGACACUUGUCCAGCUCUAUGCUAGUGCUCAACAGGGCACAGCUUUUACUUACUUGUAGCAUUUAAAAUCAUAUCAGGGUUCUGGUAGGCUCUGUGGCCACUUUUAAUUUCUUUUCUCCCUUCUUUCCUGAGUGACAACAAGCAAGGCUAAGCCUCAAGUCCCUAACCACUAGGGCUCUGUGCCUCCAAUCCCAGAGCAGACAAAGUCAACAGGAAUAUGUAAUGCGUGUGCAGGUACAGUCGGGGAGACGACGGAUCAUCAAGCCCUGAGGAGAAGCCAGCAGUCUGCUCCCACGCUCCCGUCCUUCUCCUACCUUUGGAACCCUCGUGUAAAUAAGCCACGUCUACAAAUUGUCUCAGGUAGUCUGUUAUAACGGCAGAGCUGACCAAGACAAGAUCUAAUGGACAAUAGCUGGGCCAUGCGUUUUACCCCUCAGUGGGUGUUGGGCGGCUGGAUGUGUGCAAAGCUGAGGUAGGUGGUUGGCAGUGCCUCUGUGGAUGUGUGGACACUUCCUCAGUGUUGCUUGCUUUUGUUUCCAGUGAGUGAGGAGUGAAGAGUUGGUGUGGGGAAGCCCAGAUAUUUUUGUUCGAAGCCUGUUCUGAAGAAGCCUGUUCUCCACAGGGAUGAAGGAGAACAGAAGACUGACUAAGAGGGUCUGACUGGGCCCGGGAUGUGGUCUAGGUGAUUAGAACUUGGCACUUCCUCCUAUUGUCUAGCAGCAGCAUGGCCAGCAGUGGAGGCUACAAAGACCAUCGGGAGAGCUUGGCUCCGGCCCAGACCGGGUGUGAGCUGCUGGCUGCCAUCCCCAGACUCUCCCCACCGUGGUCUGCAGUUCUCUCGCCCUGGGCCCUGGUCACUUUCUCUUCAUCCUUUUUCUGGCAGCAAGGAAGCUCCUUACUCCCAGGUGGGUGUUCAUUCCUUCGCAACCUCACACUCCAGUUCUCAGCAAAGCUGGCGCCUAGAAUCACCGUUUGAAGUCCCAUGGCCCC
rnacentral:sRNA from 1 species